rnacentral:rRNA from 1 species
GUGGGGAAUAUUGGACAAUGGGCGAAAGCCUGAUCCAGCCAUGCCGCGUGUGUGAAGAAGGCCUUUUGGUUGUAAAGCACUUUAAGCGAGGAGGAGGCUACCGAGAUUAAUACCCUUGGAUAGUGGACGUUACUCGCAGAAUAAGCACCGGCUAACUCUGUGCCAGCAGCCGCGGUAAUACAGAGGGUGCGAGCGUUAAUCGGAUUUACUGGGCGUAAAGCGUGCGUAGGCGGCUUUUUAAGUCGGAUGUGAAAUCCCUGAGCUUAACUUAGGAAUUGCAUUCGAUACUGGUUGGCUAGAGUAUGGGAGAGGAUGGUAGAAUUCCAGGUGUAGCGGUGAAAUGCGUAGAGAUCUGGAGGAAUACCGAUGGCGAAGGCAGCCAUCUGGCCUAAUACUGACACUGAGGUGCGAAAGCAUGGGGAGCAAACAGGAUUAGAUACCCGUGUAGUCC